CUUUGAUACUUAAGUUGGCAAAUGUAAAGAAAAAAUAUAUGCAUUCAAUCCAGUAUUCUAGCAGAUGAAUACUUUGGAUUGAAAUUAGCCUAUGGGCAGGGAGGCCAUAUAAUAGUAGAAGCUUGUAUUCAAUCCAUUAUUCUAGCUAUAGAAGUACUAUGAUUCCUUAAAAGACAAGGGUUGCGUAAUUAGCGGUAAAUAUUGACUAAAACUACACAAGCUAACGUUCCCAGUUCAUCCUCGUCCAUCUGCAUGGUCUGGAUGGUGACUUGUGACUGCAAGUCCUCCGAUUGUAUCUCAACUGCGUGAGACAUAGGUGGUUUGACUUCUCUGUCGUGUUAUUCCAUUGAGGUCCAAGGUCAAUUCUUGGGCCAUGGGAUGAGGAGUCGUCACCAGACAUCAGUAGCUCCUCAAAUCGACCAAGAAUUUUUAUUACCUGCUGCAGAUUUAGAUACCUGUCUGUUAGUGACCUCAAAACUUGAUCCAGGCCAAGUCGAGCCUGGAUAGAUCGUAAUCAACAUCUAUUAAUGAGAAUAAAUUAUGAGCUCCAAGUUGAAGUAACCAAAUUCAAGCUAGACUUUCAAAUUAUAUAUCUAUUGUUCUAACAUAUAUAUAAUGACUAGGAGCAUGUUUGAGGUGAUUUACCAUAAAAGUAAUUUCCUAAUAUUUU
rnacentral:lncRNA from 1 species